CAUUCUUCGAGCUGCAUAUACCUUACAGAAGAGGAAGAGAAAUGAGCUGAAGAAAUUGGCAUGAAAAGACAUUAAAACAAAGAAACAGACACAGGGAGAAACACGCAACAGUAACAACUGACUGGGAAGGUGAGGCAACUCAGGUUAUCAGGUUUUCUCAAGGAUUUCGACAAUGCUGCUCCGCUCAGGCCGCCAAAAGCCGUACGAAGUGCUUGCCUCUGGAAGGCAACUGGCUAAAGGCAAAUCUCUGCAGUGCAAUACAGCAGCAGCUUCUGAAAAGUCAGUAAAAUUGCCAGUGUUUAGACUGCGAAAAACAGUGAAGUGCUAUUUACUGACUGAAGAUUCAAAAACAGUGCAUUUUGACUUAGAUGAAGAUGGUCAUCAUGAAAUAUCAACCAAAGAUUCACAGUCCCAUGAAGAUAUCGCGUGGUUAAGCAUGUUCACAAGCAAUGAACCAGCAGUUAGUGCAAAAACAUGCUCUAAAAAUGUGGUGGUCCUCACACAGAGAUCAAAGCAUAACGAAUUUGUCCUGUUGUGCAAGGGUAAAAAGCAGCUCUGUCUGAAGGUCUUAAAAGGAUGUUGUUCAGAGCCAGAUUAUCCUUCAAUGAGAAGACGCAACAGGAAAACAUGCAAGCACGAAGAUCCUGACUUCAAACAGCUGAGCGAAGAUAAUCACUUUUUCAUCAUGCAUUGUGAAGGAGAGUCAGUGAAAUUCCAGUGCUAUGAAGACACAAAUUACUUUCUGCAUGUGAAUGAUGACUCACUUGAUAUACGCAAGCCAGAUCACAAAGACCCCAAUGGAGAGAAAAAUUUUUUCUUCAGGGUGUCAUACUUAUAG
rnacentral:lncRNA from 1 species